AUUUCGCCUACCUGAGGACCUCAACCACUGUCAUCUUGUCUGAAGUCAUCCAGCUCCCCAGCAAAGGACAUUUGAUGCCUCAAAAAACCAAGACGGAACCAAGAACGUUUUUUUUCCCCAUCACACUUCCAUUUCAACACCAUCACUAAUCCUCAAUUUAUCUCCAAACAAAAUGGGAUCUGUUGAGCUGCCAGGUAUUCCUCAAAGUAUUUUGGACAGGUUCAAAGCCCUAAAGGACAUGGAGCUUGAAGCUCAAAACAAAAUGGCAUCUCUCGGUCUCCCUGCUGAUCUCCUCAUGCCUGAGAUGCCUGAUGACGAGACGCCUGAUGAGAUGCCUGAUGAUCUCCCUCAAAGUGCUUUAGAAUUGGAUUGUAACAAAGCCGUGGAUGACUUGAUGAACGCUUUUCACGACGACAGUAUCACGAAAGCAGAGCUUGGUGCAUAUUUUAUCACUGCCCAUGACAAAUUUUUGAUCUGUCUACUGGAGGUGUAUGAAAAAAGAGUCAAGGCCACAGUGGAACUUGCAGAACAACUAAUUCGCCAGAGAGAAGAUGACAGGCGCAUGGAAGAAGAAAGAAGGUGCCUAGAAGAAGAAAGAAGGGACAUGGAAGAAGAAAUCAACGGAUACAGAAUGCGCCUAUCGGCAUUCCUGGCAAGCAAGGACCAUAGACACCACGGAAGAAAAUAGUGCAGCAGAUGACAGCUGAGGACCAAAGCCAAGACACAACGAACACAUGACAAGCUCCAGUCUGAUUUCCCCCCUUUACGACCAAGGGUGUUUUUUUGUUUUUGUUUUUUUUAAAAUAACUUUUUUUACUUACUUCAAGUAACAUAUAAUGCAAUAAGAGGAGGAAUUUAUGCACAGAGAAGAAGAUAUGCAUCUAGAAGAAGAAGAAACGAAUGAAUACAAAAUGCACAUAUAGCAGCAUUUGCAACCAAUAUUCUUCCUCAUAAAUGGGUAGCCUUUUUAGCCUAACAUAUGUUUGACAUUAUUUUUCUUCUCGUAUAAUGAAAAAAAAAUGGCAGUUUAGGACCAAAGCCAAGACUCCCUAUACAAUUUUAAAAGGACAUUUUUUACACACCCACUUAACCCCCCCGCCCCUUUUUUUGUGGCUACAUUGAACAUGUUCACUUGUUCACAAAGAAAUCACUUUAUUUUCUGUCGUUCAACAUUUUAUAUACAUUUUAUAUACAUUUCAUAGUUUAGAUAGUAUAUUGUAUAUAUUAAUAAGUUUUAUAUUUUUUUUGUUCAGUUUUAGUGUUAAGUUUAUGUUUCAUAGGUCUUCUUUGUCUUUUCAAAAAUAAAGAAAAAAAAUCCUCCGCCGUCUAUGCGCUUACUUGCCCACAA